AAAUAAAUAAAAUCUUAAAAAAAAAAUUGGAACAAUACAGAGAAGGUUAGCACAGUCCCUGCAUAAGGAUAACAUGCAAAUUCAUGAAGUGUUCCAUAUGUUA